rnacentral:misc_RNA from 1 species
GAUGAAGAACGUAGCGAAAUGCGAUAAGUAGUGUGAAUUGCAGAAUUCAGUGAAUCAUCGAAUCUUUGAACGCACAUUGCGCCCCUUGGUAUUCCAUGGGGCAUGCCUGUUCGAGCGUCAUUUGUACCUUCAAGCUUUGCUUGGUGUUGGGUGUUUGUCUCGCCUCUGCGUGUAGACUCGCCUUAAAACAAUUGGCAGCCGGCGUAUUGAUUUCGGAGCGCAGUACAUCUUGCGCUUUGCACUCAUAACGACGACGUCCAAAAGUACAUUUUUACACUCUUGACCUCGGAUCAGGUAGGGAUACCCGCUGAACUUAAGCAUAUCAAUAAGCGGAGGA